rnacentral:ribozyme from 1 species
GAAGAAAGAGACAAAGACAAACACACAAACACCUUACCACAUUCUUAUUUUUAUUUCGUUUUACUUUUACUUUUACUUUCCUCUUUCUCCUCUGAAAACUGGAAGUGACGAAGAGGAGGAGGAGAAAAGAAAAAAAAAAAUACACAUGGAGAAGUGUGUUGUUCAGAAGACCUUACGAGGUGUUUGACGCACAACAAAAAAAACGAAAAAAAAA